rnacentral:rRNA from 1 species
CAAGGCAGACGGCUCAGUAACACGUAGUCAACCUAACCUGUGGACGGGCAUAACCUCGGGAAACUGAGAAUAAUACCCGACAGGCCAUGAUGCCUGGAACGGUUCAUGGCCCAAACGAUUUAUCGCCGCAGGGUGGGACUGCGUUCUAUCAGCUUGUUGGUGAGGUAAUGGCCCACCAAGGCUAUAACAGAUACGGGCUCUGAGAGGAGAAGCCCGGAGAUGGGUACUGAGACACGGACCCAGGCCCUAUGGGGCGCAGCAGGCGAGAAACCUUUGCAAUGUGCGAAAGCACGACAAGGUUAAUCCGAGUGUUUCCCGCUAAGGGAAUCUUUUGCCGGUCCCAAAAGCACCGGCGAAUAAGGGGUGGGCAAGUUCUGGUGUCAGCCGCCGCGGUAAAACCAGCACCUCGAGUGGUCAGGAGGAUUAUUGGGCCUAAAGCAUCCGUAGCCGGCCGCGUAAGUUUUCGGUUAAAUCCAUGCGCUCAACGUAUGGGCUGCCGGGAAUACUGCGCAGCUAGGGAGUGGGAGAGGUAGACGGUACUCGGCAGGAAGGGGUAAAAUCCGGUGAACUGCCGAUGACCACCUGUGGCGAAGGCGGUCUACUAGAACACGUCCGACGGUGAGGGAUGAAAGCUGGGGGAGCAAACCGGAUUAGAUACCCGGGUAGUCCCAGCUGUAAACAAUGCAAACUCGGUGAUGCAUCAGGUUGUGCUUGGUGCAGUGCCGCAGGGAAGCCGUUAAGUUUGCCGCCUGGGAAGUACGUACGCAAGUAUGAAACUUAAAGGAAUUGGCGGGGGAGCACCACAAGGGGUGAAGCCUGCGGUUCAAUUGGAGUCAACGCCGGG